UAGCUCAACAGGGCGAACCGGGGGAACUGAAACAUCUAAGUACCCCGAGGAAAAGAAAUCAACCGAGAUUCCGAAAGUAGCGGCGAGCGAAAUUGGACUAGCCCUUAAGCUUUACACGCGUUAGACGAACAGCCUGGAAAGGCCGACGAUACAGGGUGAUAGUCCCGUAGUUGACGACGUGUGUUCAGUGAAAUCGAGUAGGGCGGGACACGUGAUAUCCUGUCUGAAUAUGGGGGGACCAUCCUCCAAGGCUAAAUACUACUGACUGACCGAUAGUGAACCAGUACCGUGAGGGAAAGGCGAAAAGAACCCCUGUGAGGGGAGUGAAAUAGAACCUGAAACCGUGUACGUACAAGCAGUAGGAGCAGGCUUUGUCCUGUGACUGCGUACCUUUUGUAUAAUGGGUCAGCGACUUAUAUUCAGUGGCAAGGUUAACCAUCUAGGGGAGCCGUAGGGAAACCGAGUCUUAACUGGGCGUUCAGUCUCUGGAUAUAGACCCGAAACCAGGUGAUCUAGCCAUGGGCAGGUUGAAGGUUGAGUAACAUC
rnacentral:rRNA from 1 species